CACGUGGGGAACCUGCCCCAUAGUCUGGGAUACAACUUGGAAACAGGUGCUAAUACCGGAUAAGAAAGCGGAUCGCAUGAUCAGCUUUUAAAAGGCGGCGUAAGCUGUCGCUAUGGGAUGGCCCCGCGGUGCAUUAGCUAGUUGGUAAGGUAAAGGCUUACCAAGGCGAUGAUGCAUAGCCGAGUUGAGAGACUGAUCGGCCACAUUGGGACUGAGACACGGCCCAAACUCCUACGGGAGGCAGCAGCG
rnacentral:rRNA from 1 species